AUCUAUUUGGUGUGCUGAAAGACCCCCAUAGCGGGGAGACCCUCACUCAAGUCUCGGGAUGACACGGCCCCCCAAGAACUCAUGUAAGACC
rnacentral:pre_miRNA from 14 species